AGAGAGAGACAUGCGCGCAUAUCAAUAAGCGGAGGAAAAGAAACUAACUAGGAUUCCCUCAGUAACGGCGAGUGAAGCGGGAAGAGCUCAAAUUUGAAAUCUUCAAGGUUCUACCUUGACGAAUUGUAGUUUAAAGAAGUGUUUUCUGUUGGAGUUUUGGUAAAAGUUCUUUGGAAUAGGACAUCAUAGAGGGUGAGAAUCCCGUAUUUGACCAUUUACUUUCCAACUUUGUGAUACACUUUCAAAGAGUCGGAUUGUUUGGGAAUGCAGUCCAAAAUGGGUGGUAAAUUUCAUCUAAAGCUAAACAUUGGCGAGAGACCGAUAGCGAACAAGUACCGUGAGGGAAAGAUGAAAAGAACUUUGAAAAGAGAGUUAAACAGUACGUGAAAUUGUCAAAAGGGAAGCGUUUGACACCAGUGUUGUUUUCUCGAAAGUCAAUUAAAAAAGGCAGGAUUUUGUGUUGUAUUGACUUUAUCAGCUUUCUGCACUCUUUUCUUGUCUUUUUUAAUGCACUUUUCGUUUAACAAGUCAACAUCAAUUUCUUUUGUUGUAAAAGGGUCAUUGGAAGGUGGCUUUCUUUUCGGAGAAAGUGUUUAUAGCCUUUGGCCUCUGCAAUCGGAGAGAUUGAGGUCUGCAGCGUAGAUCCUUCGGGGUUAGAUACAUUUGUGCUAAGUUAUAGCCUUUCAUAGACAACUUGUUGACUAUGAUCAGUCAUGUAGCUUACUCGCUUAUGCUAUUUUACCUACGCUUAGGAUGUUGAUGUGAUACUGCGAGCA
rnacentral:rRNA from 1 species